rnacentral:rRNA from 1 species
GAAAAGUCGUCUCAGUUCGGAUUGGAGUCUGCAACUCGACUCCAUGAAGCUGGAUUCGCUAGUAAUCGCGCAUCAGCCAUGGCGCGGUGAAUACGUUCCCGGGCCUUGUACACACCGCCCGUCAAGCCAUGGAAGCCCGGGGGGUGCCUGAAGUGCGUGACCGCAAGGAGCGCCCUAAGGUAAAACCGGUGACUGGGGCUAAGUCGUAACAAGGUACC